ACGAACGCUGGCGGCGUGCUUAACACAUGCAAGUCGAACGGAAAGGCCCUGCUUGCAGGGUACUCGAGUGGCGAACGGGUGAGUAACACGUGGGUGAUCUGCCCUGCACUUCGGGAUAAGCCUGGGAAACUGGGUCUAAUACCGGAUAGGAGCCAUUUUUAGUGUGAUGGUUGGAAAGUUUUUUCGGUGUAGGAUGAGCUCGCGGCCUAUCAGCUUGUUGGUGGGGUAAUGGCCUACCAAGGCGGCGACGGGUAGCCGGCCUGAGAGGGUGGACGGCCACAUUGGGACUGAGAUACGGCCCAGACUCCUACGGGAGGCAGCAGUGGGGAAUAUUGCACAAUGGGCGCAAGCCUGAUGCAGCGACGCCGCGUGGGGGAUGACGGCCUUCGGGUUGUAAACUCCUGUCGCUAGGGACGAAGCUUUUUGUGACGGUACCUAGAUAAGAAGCACCGGCUAACUACGUGC
rnacentral:rRNA from 1 species